rnacentral:rRNA from 1 species
AUUGAACGCUGGCGGAAUGCUUUACACAUGCAAGUCGAACGGCAGCACGGACUUCGGUCUGGUGGCGAGUGGCGAACGGGUGAGUAAUGUAUCGGAGCGUGCCCAGUCGUGGGGGAUAACGUAGCGAAAAUUACGCUAAUACCGCAUACGAUCUAUGGAUGAAAGCGGGGGAUCGCAAGACCUCGCGCGAUUGGAGCGGCCGAUAUCAGAUUAGGUAGUUGGUGGGGUAAAGGCCCACCAAGCCAACGAUCUGUAGCUGGUCUGAGAGGACGACCGGCCACACUGGAACUGAGACACGGUCCAGACGCAUACGGGAGGCAGCAGUGGGGAAUUUUGGACAAUGUGCGAAAGCCUGAUCCAGCCAUUCCGCGUGCAGGAUGAAGGCCUUCGGGUUGUAAACUGCUUUUGUACAGAACGAAAAGGUUUCUACUAAUACUAGGAGCUCAUGACGGUACUGUAAGAAUAAGCACCGGCUAACUACGUGCCAGCCGCCGCCGUAA